GUUUACUUCACUGACAAGUGUUGGACCAGUGAGGCUCUUAAUUACUUACUAUAACCAGAUUUCUGCUGUGCGGAGACACAGUGUCAGUCUUGGGCCCAGAAUGCAUUUCUCCAUCAGCUGUGGACUGUCUUUCAUGUGUGUAACUGCACUGCUUUUCCUUCCUUCACAAGGGACACUUAAAUGUGCCAACACUUCACCCUUGGUCACUGCUGCCGGUUCGAAAUUGAUUGGCAUCUAUUUCAUCUGCUGUGACAAUGUCUCAACGGCCCGCAUUAGGGAACCUGUCAAAGCUUGCUAUGAACAGAUGGACACAUUUUCUAUCUGCAAAAGACAUGCAUACAUUUUGAAGGGUAACAGUGGCCAUUGCUAUUGCGUGGACCCAGAUGCCAACUGGCUCCCACAACGACUCCAGAGGUUAAAUACAAGAGGAAUAAAUUGCACAGUCCUGUGAAGACCCUGAACAGCAAAGAUGAAGACGAUGCACUGCUACCUUCUACGCAGAUAUCUUUACACUGGCACUUGUUCCUGUUUUAUUUUUCCACUAACUAAGGUGUUUUAUUUCUGCUGUUUUUUAAUACAUUAAAAAUAAUUAGCAAUGCCUUUGGCAGCAAUCUCUGCUGUCUUCUAAUCUAAUAAAGAUUUGAUUUCUUGG